AAGAGUUCAGAAAUACACCUUUUAGGUUCAGACACUGAAAAUCUUCAUCACCGCUGGCUUGGAAGAGAGGAAUACUGGUGCCACAGUUCACAAACCUAAAGCAGCUUGGAUUUGUUUCACCUGGACUUACUACUACCAUACCAUUUGAUCCAUCAAUGCCGCAGCAGGACCGACAGAAUUGUGAAGGCCGUUUUCUUAAUACAAACAUUGUUUUUUUUUAUUAUGUGUUGUUCUAUAUUUGUACACGGAUGUUUAGCCUAUGUACAUUCCCUUCCAACAGAAUCAUUCAGUAGUAAAAGUAAAUGUACAUUAUUUAUCUGUCUGUGUUUUUUUUAAAUUAAAUACACAAAGAGCCUAACAUAUCCUGUAUGUAUUCGUAACUGGAGAAAAAUGAAGAUUGCAUCAAUAAAGAUUUAUGAGAAAAUAAUUUAUUUGAUCUUUUAAAAACACAUUUAAAAACAAGAAUAAAUAACAGUAGAGAAAUUGCAAUAAAUAAUUAUGCAGCAGUGAAUACAUCCAACGUAGUUGACCCUUCUGGGUAUACUGGUUUGCUUUUCACAGAAAAUACUUGUGGUGUUCUCCCUGCCCUAUUACAGGGCUGAAUACAUAGAGAUGUAGGCUGCCUUCACACGUAUGCAACCCAACUCACAGUUCAGUAGGUGAUGACCGACCCACACUGCAGCACACCAUUAUGUUGUGUUGCAGUGUGUUAAAGAAAAAAGGUACAAGUCUGGUUUUUGUUCCCUUGCCUUGCAUUGGCAACCCAUCUGUGCUGAUGGCAUCAGUUUGAGACGAUUCUGAGAUUAUUUAGAAAUUGGUGACCGGUUCAUUUAACCUAUAACUUAAAUAGCAAUGCUAAACCCAUGUGUUGUGACGAAAAGCCCAUUACACAGGUUCUUAAAUCAGAAGACUAAAAAUUUUAACCAAAUUUUUUUUUUUUUUUUAUACAUUUCCCUUUAAACCCUGUGCAACCAGGCUGACAGCACUGGGUAUAAUUUAAGCUACUUAUGAGUUAUGCAUUGCCAACAGUUUUAAACACAAUGAGAACAGCUGAGACUAAGCCCUGGUUUACACUUAUGCGAUGUGGGAAACGCAUCGAAUCUUGUUCGUUCACCGCACAGCGUCCAUGUGAUCUUCUGCAGAGGGCAAUGUUAUCUUAACGACCCCGAAACAGAUCACAAAAUGCAGUGCGAUUGGCACAAUCGCAUUGCAUGGGUGCGAUGCAAUUUAGGUGUGGGGAAAAAAAAAAGUUAUGUACCAUUUUGGUGCAGAUGUGAUUUCGGACAUAGAAAAUGUUAUGGCUGAAAUCACACCGCACAGACUUCACCUGUGGUGUCUACAUCGCAUAAGUGUGAACCCAGGCAAUUUUUUUGCAUGACCAGGACUGUCUAUGAAAUUUCAGAUACAGAGGACUAGAAGUACAGUAAUAGGCAUCUGUGGUAACACACAUUAUUUUACAUGUUUUAGGCAGCCCAUUAAAGAUUAUGAGGAGUUUGUAUUUUGGCUUCUCGUGUCUGGCAAGUCCUACACUACUAUUUUAAAGAGCAUAAAAAAAUGGUGUUUUUUUGUGUUACCUAAGCUCGAUCCCAGACCGCACUUGGAUAAUUCUUUGCUUGCUAACUGCAUAUUGAAAUACAAAAACCAGGGAAUUCAAUUGUGGUAGUAGAAUUCCUGAACCUGCACACAUUAUUCUAGGGUAGUGUGUCUCAGAAAGCAGUAAACUAGCCUGUUUGGUAAGGAGAUAUUUUAAAUAGGCCAGCACAUUCCCAGUAUUGUUAUACUAUUUCGUUGAAUGCCGGUCUAUUUAAAAUGCAGUUUGUUCACUUGUUUAGACUGUGGAUGUAUUCUGUUGUACAGCAUCCAAAUAAUUACACACAAAUAUAACAUAGAGCAAAUAUGUAAACAGUAUAUUAAAUAAAUAUAUUACAAUUAAUAAUUUAGGUUUAAAAAAAUAAAUUAGUCACAAAUAUAACAAUAAAUAUUAAAAUAAUUUGGUCGUCAUGCUAAUAGGCACUCUUUUUUUAGUGCAUACCCCAGGACAAUCGUUCAUGACGAUAUACUCAAGUAUUAGCUGGGUAGUAGUCCUUUGAACCACUUAGCUAAGAUUUGUGCUGGGGCAUAUGCUGGGUGCCCUUAAUUAAAAAAAUAAAAUAAUAAUAAUUAAAAAAAUAAAGUUGGAAGGUCCGAUCGUGUUACUACACAAUUCAACCUUCCUGUAAAUCUAACGUUCUGCAAACAGAACAAGUGUGUAUCACUACACAGUAGUGAAUAUGAAAAAGUGUGUUUAACCACUGCUGUUUCGUAUAGCUCGGGAUGUCUUGAUCAUGUAAUCUUUGAAUGACUGUAGAAUGAGGUAGGUUGUGAGCUUUUCAGUCCAAGAAUCUUUGGACAGUAAGUUCUCCAUUGGAAUGUCUGUACCAGUGACCUCUUUCUCGUCAAGGAGAUUCUUUCCCAUCUAAAAACAGAAUAAAAUCAUUUUAAGAGGGUGUUCAAAGACUUUGUUAGUAAAAAUAAUGUACAAAAAUGUAUUAUUUCUUUACAGAACUUUUUUUUUCUAUUGGUCAGCUUUAAUCUUUUCUCAGCAUUGUUGGUGUAAUAAAGAUUUGAUUUGUAAAUCGCA